CCUACGGGUGGCAGCAGUGGGGAAUCUUGCGCAAUGCGCGAAAGCGUGACGCAGCAACACCGCGUGAGGGAAGACGGCCUUCGGGUUGUAAACCUCUUUCAGGAGGGACGAAGGGCGGCCGGUGAAUAGCCGUGCCGUCUGACGGUACCUCCACAAGAAGCUCCGGCUAACUACGUGCCAGCAGCCGCGGUAAUACGUAGGGAGCGAGCGUUGUCCGGAAUCAUUGGGCGUAAAGCGCGCGUAGGCGGCCCGAUAAGUCCGCUGUGAAAGUCAAC
rnacentral:rRNA from 1 species